rnacentral:lncRNA from 10 species
UAGAAAAUGAUAAUAAUACUAAGGAUUCCUCUUCAUUGAAGAGCAAAUGCAUUUCUUUUUGAAACAGGGUCUUGCUCUGUCUCCCCAUCCGGAGUGCAGUGGUAUAAUCAUAGCUCACUGCAGCCUCAAGUUCCAGGCUCAAGGAAUCUUUCCACCUCAGCCUCCUGAACAGCUGGAAUACAAGUGCAUGCCACCACAUCUGGCUAAUUUUCUUUUAUUUAUUUCUUUUUUUUUUAAUAGAUGAGUUCUCACUAUGUUGCCCAGACUGCUCUUCAACUCCUGGCCUCAAGGGGUCCUCUCUCUUCAGCCUCCCAACGUGCUAGGAUUACAGGACAUUACUGCUGCUGUGAGUGAUGCCUGCAAGAAGCCACACAACCAUUCAAGCACAUUGGCAAACCUGCAUGAGUGAGCAAGUUACUCCGUGGAAUCACCCUUGAGCAAUGAGGGACAGGCACAGGGCUGAGCUUCUUCCUGGAACUUUUUGAAACAACUGGAACUCAAGGUGCAACAGUUACAAAUAGGUACUUUUUCACAGUGUAUACCCCAAACUGGGGACUAUGGGUUACAAAAAGAUGAGUUUCCCACCUCUUGCCCUGCUACCAAAGAGCAUACUUAAGAAAAAACAAGGAGUCACAGUUUGGCUAAUGACUACAUUUAUGUUUUACUGAGUGAAGUUCAUAAGUUGAAUUCAAAGCUGACUCACCUACAACAAAACUGGAAUUUCUAGAAAGAGAGGCAUCAAGUAAAAGCAAGAUAAGAGCUAUGAGAAAGAAUGAAGAUGAGUAACAGUCAUGGGAAAGGAACCUUGUGAAGGAAAAUCGGAUAUAUUUAUUGUAAAAUCUGAUUCUGCUUGCUCAUUCCCCCAGAACACUUCAGUAAAAUCUUCUUUCCUUUUUAUUGAGUGUGGCAUUAAACCAGGUUUGGAAGAUGCAAUUGUGUAGAUGGGAGAAUUGUCCCACCUGAGCUAUAUUAGGAAUAUUCGAACAUUUCUAUAUUCACAUAGUAUAUAUUCAUUAACCAACUACUAUGUACUAGGUACCAGGAUAGCCUCCAGAAUAAAAAGAUGAAAAAAGUGCCUCUUGCCCAGGGGAAGGUUACUUG